GAAGGGCGUUUGGUGAAUGCCUAGGCAGUAAGAGGCGAUGAAGGACGUGGUAGUCUGCGAAAAGCUUCGGUGAGCUGACAAACAAGCUUUGACCCGGAGAUGUCCGAAUGGGGAAACCCACUCUGCUUGCAGAGUAUCCCUGACUGAAUACAUAGGUCAGGGAAGCGAACCCGGCGAACUGAAACAUCUAAGUAGCCGGAGGAAAAGAAAUCAACCG
rnacentral:rRNA from 14 species